AUAAUUGAUUAUGGCUCAGAUUGAACGCUGGCGGGAUGCUUUACACAUGCGGUCAGAACGGCAGCACGGACUCGGCCUGGUGGCGAGUGGCGAACGGUGGAGUAAUGUAUCGGAACGUGCCUAGUAGCGGGGGAUAACUACGCGAAAGGUAGCUAAAUACCGCAUACGCCCUUCGGGGGAAAGCGGGGACCUUCGCCUCGCACUAUUAGAGCGGCCGAUAUCGGAUUAGCUAGUUGGUAAGUGCGGCUCACCAAGGCGACGAUCCGUAGCUGGUUUGAGGACGACCAGCCACACUGGGACUGAGACACGGCCCAGACUCCUACGGAGAGGCAGCAGUGGGGAAUUUUGGACAAUGGGGGAAACCCUGAUCCAGCCAUCCCGCGUGUGCGAUGAAGGCCUUCGGGUUGUAAAGCACUUUUGGCAGGGAAAGAAACGGCACGGGAUAAUACCCCAGGCAACUGACGGUACCUGCAGAAUAAGCACCGGCUAACUACGUGCCAGGCCGCGGUAAUACGUAGGGUGCAAGUUAAUCGGAAUUACUGGGCGCAGCGUGUGCAGGCGGUUCGGAAAGAAAGAUGUGAAAUCCCCAGAGCUUAACUUUGGAACUACAUUUUUAACUACCGAGCUAGAGUGUCAGAGGGAGGUGGAAUUCCGCGUGUAGCAGUGAAAUGCGGAAGGCGGCGGAGGAACACCGAUGGCGAAGGCAGCCUCCUGGGAUAACACCGACGCUCGUGCACGAAAGCGUGGGAGCAAACAGGAUUAGAUACCCUGGUAGUCCACGCCCUAAAAACGAUGUCAACUAGCUGUUGGGCCUUCGGGCCUUGGUAGCGCAGCUAACGCGUGAAGUUGACCGCCUGGGGAGUACGGUCGUAAGAUUAAAAACUUCAAAGGAAUUGACGGGGACUCCACAAGCGGUGGAUGAUGUGGAUUAAUUCGAGCAAACGCGAAAAAACCCUUACCUACCUUUACAUGUCUGAAUCCCGAAGAGAUUUGGGAGUGCUCGCAAGAGAACCGGAACACAGGUGCCGUAUGGCUGUCGUCAGCUCGUGUCGUGAGAUGUUGGGUUAAGUCCCGCAACGAGCGCAACCUUGUCAUUAGUUGCUACGAAAGUGGCACUCUAAUGAGACUGCCGGUGACAAACCGGAGGAAGGUGGAUGACGUCAAGUCCAUGGCUCCCAUGGGUAGGGCUUCACACGUCAUACAAUGGUCGUAUUGCAGGGUCGCCAACCCGCGAGGGAGCCAAUCCCAGAAACCCGAUCGUAGUCCGGAUCGCAGUCUGCAACUCGACUGCGUGAAGUCGGAAUCGCUAGUAAUCGCAUCAGUAUGUCGCGGUGAAUACGUUCCCGGGUCUUGUACACACCGCCCGUCACACCAUGGGAGUGGGUUUUACCAGAAGUAGCUAGCCUAACCGUAAGGGAGGGCGAUUACCACGGUAGGGAUUAUGACUGGGGUGUCGUAACAAGGUAA
rnacentral:rRNA from 1 species